AGAGAGAGUCAUACUGACUCGUCUUCCUUCGAUCAAGACAAAGAGACAAGGAGAGAUGGGCUGUCGGCAACCAGGAUUGCACGAUGGGCUAUUAUUGGGCUCGACUCAAGCUGGUGGAGAUUUGUGAAGCUUGGGCCUCACCAGAAGUAAAAUGGGCCAGCGACAACACCAUAUCCUCCAUGGGCUGAGUUCACAGCAGGCCCACUCCAGCUCAUAACACCUGAUCACAUACGAAGCAUAUAUAAUAGAUGUGAGUAUGAUGAUUAGGGCAACAGAAGCAAUAAUAAGGAAACAUCUGAUUAAGGCAACAGAGAUCAAGCAACGAGGUACACAGCAAGAGAGAAGAGAUAUCAACAAGGAUAAAUAGCUUAGAUUUAAGUCUAUUUGAUCUAAGGAGGUUGAUUGUGUUCUCUAGCUAAGUUGAGGUUGAUCCUAUUGUAAUCAAACUAUCUAGUACACUGAUUUGGUGUGACUAGUGUCUCUUUGAUCUAGUGGAUUUUGGGAGCAGAAGUUCUCCCACGAGACGUACCGCGCCGAGGGCCGGGAACUCGUUAAAUCGUUUGUGUCUUUACUCUCAGUACUAGACCUAGGUCAAGAUAACUUCUAACCUAAGUAACCUAAGAUAAACAUUUUACAUGAUCUAAAACAUAAAGGAGAUGAAAUGGUGUUUCCACCGUCUUUACCUUUAAUUUCAGUCGAGCCAUUCGUUCGCAUGAAAAAAGAACUCUAAAGUAAAUUCCAAAUUGCACAACAAAAAUAAUCUAAUGUUUAGAGAAGAAUAAAAAUUCAUCACUAACUCAUUUGCUAAGAAGAAUAUGAACUCAUCCUUACCACCAACCAACGGAUACCGAGGCGGUAUUUCCUAAAGCCUUCUAUAAAUUUUGCUUAUUUUUUCUUAAUUUUGCCUCUCCAAAACCUUUGCAUCCUCAUCAAAUUAAAGUUUCAUCUCUCUUCAGAGAAAAAAGUUAUGAAAGCAUCGGCUAUUCUGUUUCGUGGAAUAAAUUAGUUGUUUGUAGAAGUUGAUAUAUGGAAAUG
rnacentral:lncRNA from 1 species